GAUGAACGCUGGCGGCGUGCCUAACACAUGCAAGUCGAGCGAUUCUCUUCGGAGAAGAGCGGCGGACGGGUGAGUAACGCGUGGGUAACCUGCCCUGUACACACGGAUAACAUACCGAAAGGUAUGCUAAUACGAGAUGAUAUAUAAAAGUUGCAUGACUUUCAUAUCAAAGCUUUUGCGGUACAGGAUGGACCCGCGUCUGGUUAGCUAGUUGGUAAGGUAACGGCUUACCAAGGCGACGAUCAGUAGCCGACCUGAGAGGGUGAUCGGCCACACGGGAACUGAGACACGGUCCAGACUCCUACGGGAGGCAGCAGUGGGGAAUAUUGCACAAUGGGCGAAAGCCUGAUGCAGCAACGCCGCGUGAGCGAUGAAGGCCUUCGGGCCGUAAAGCUCUGUCCUCAAGGAAGAUAAUGACGGUACUUGAGGAGGAAGCCCCGGCUAACUACGUGCCAGCAGCCGCCGUAACAC
rnacentral:rRNA from 1 species